rnacentral:rRNA from 1 species
GAUAUUAUAAAUAGCCGCUUUUGUGCUAAGGUAGCAUAAUCAUUUGUCUUUUAAAUGAAGACCAGGAACAAAAGAUUUAACAUUUUAAUAAAUAUAUUUCAUUAAAUAAUUUAAAUUAUCUUAAAAGUAAAAAGACUUUUAUUAAUUAGAAAGACGACAAGACCCUAUUGAACUUAACUACUGUUAAACUGGGGAAGUUAAUAAAUUAUUAUUUUUAUAAAAAUUUUAAAUUAAAAGUGAUCUAAUACUAUUAACCUAAGGAUCAAGUUACCAUAGGGAUAACAGCGAAAUUUAAUUUUAAAAAUCUUAUAUUAAAAUGGGUUUACAACCUCAAUGUUGAAUUAAUAACCUAAUUAAAGCAAAAGUUAAUAAAGGGAG